GACGAACGCUGGCGGCGUGCUUAACACAUGCAAGUCGAACGGUAAGGCCCUUCGGGGUACACGAGUGGCGAACGGGUGAGUAACACGUGGGUGAUCUGCCCUGCACUUCGGGAUAAGCCUGGGAAACUGGGUCUAAUACCGGAUAGGACCCUGGGAUGCAUGUCCUGGGGGGGAAAGCUUUUGCGGUGUGGGGUGGGCCCGCGGCCUAUCAGCUUGUUGGGUGGGUGAUGGCCUACCAAGGCGACGACGGGUAGCCGGCCUGAGAGGGUGACCGGCCACACUGGGACCGAGAUACGGCCCAGACUCCUACGGGAGGCAGCAGUGGGGAAUAUUGCACAAUGGGCGCAAGCCUGAUGCAGCGACGCCGCGUGAGGGAUGACGGCCUUCGGGUUGUAAACCUCUUUCAGCACCGACGAAGCGCAAGUGACGGUAGGUGCAGAAGAAGGACCGGCCAACUACGUGCCAGCCGCCGCCGUAA
rnacentral:rRNA from 1 species